AUGGCAACGCCAUCCAUUUCCUUCUUGUCAUUUUCUUUUUCAUUUCGCCUGAUGCGCAACAGCAUCUAACUUUAAAAUUUUAUUUUUCUGAAUCGGGUCUCUGAGCUAUUUCUCUUUUCAAAGAAAUAGCUACUGGGGUAAGCCAUGUAGCCUACACGCCCCCUGAUGGCCCACCCGACGCAACAAAACUUCGACCCUUUGCUGAGUUAAUUUUGCAAAGGUCGAUGUGCGGAAGGUUUUAUUAUUCCACGUGGGGAACUCCCACAGCCCUGAAGUCUCAUGGCCGGGCAUUUCUGGAACUUCAAUGACGUGUUUGCCGACAUAAUUGAAAAAUUCCAGAUUACACCUGAAUUAUUUGGAGAAUUUUUUUUGAUUUGAAGCACCCGAACAAUAUUUAAGGAGACUGUGAGUUACUCGGUUCGACUGGGAUAUGAGUAAAGUUCCUUAACAUGGAUUUCUUCAGUGUCAUUUGGCAGAAUUUGUAGUGUGCAGAAAGUGAAAUGCGUACGUUCUACCAAACUUGUGUGGUUAUUGUUUGGCCGUGAGUGAGCUGUGGUGAUUCCUUUUUAAUUUUUGGGUAAAAUCCCCAUUUGGGCUACACCAACCAUCAUUGAAUGGUGUAUGGUGUAUUCAAUGAUUUUAUUCAGCCCUCCAACCACUACGUACUCCUUUGGGUUUAUGAAAUUAUACUGCUGAGUCGGGGGUCAUAUUAUUGUUAUUGUCCGGUCAUUAAAAAUUAGUUAUACUGCGCUUACUUAUUUUUGAACAAAUUCCUGCCUAACAUGAACUUGUUUUGCUCCAAAUCUUUCGGAAUUGUGUGUUUAUAUGGAUAAAAGCAUGGUAUUCGUAAAAUAGAAAACUAACUAUCGCGCAAUAAAGCGUCUGUCCCUGGUGUAAGUGGAAAACCACGUCCCAGAACAAAACAUGAGGUGGCUAAUAUGGGAUCAAUCUGCGGUGGAAGUGUUGAUUUUAUAUUUAUUUUUCCCCCAUCGAAAUUUUAUCCAUGUGAAGGAGUUAUUUUACCAUGAUAUGUACAGUUGCAAUUCCCUGGAUAUUCUUCCGUGCUCCAAAACAUGGAUAAAGAAAAAGGGUGUCUAUUACCUGGUCAUUAAUUACGUGGCAAAAUAUUAAUUUUUAUGCCAUAGGAGAUGACAACUUGCGAUCAACAAAAAAUCUCCAACUUGUGGCCAUCCGAUCAAUUUUGACCCAAAUUCCGCUGCCUCAGAUACGGACACCAAACAGAAGUAUGACACCAAACAGGGAGACCUUCAAAUUCAACGGCCAAUUUAAACCCAAGGACCGGGCAUUUAACACCAGAUCCCCACUCAGCAGUCAGUGGAGACCAAAAAAAAUAUUGUGAUUUUGGGGAACCUUUAUAUAUAAAAAAAAAAUACAAAAAUAAAAAUGUUGUUUGCUUUCCCACUGUCA